rnacentral:tRNA from 2 species
GCCGGGGAGCUCGCCUGGGGGCGAGAGCGGUCCUACACACCGCCCACGGAGGGUUCGAUUCCCUCACCCGGUA